GGGCCCGUGGCUCAGCCUGGAAAGAAAGCUCCCAGAAAGAGCGCCCGCCUUAUAAGCGGGAGGCCCGGGGUUCGAGUCCCCGCGGGCCCA
rnacentral:tRNA from 3 species